rnacentral:lncRNA from 1 species
UUAGUCUCUUUUGUCAGGCAACUAACGAGCAAGGCAGUCUUUCCUGAGGGUUUUUAUUAUUUUAGAGUUGUAGAGACCAAGUGGGCAUUUCCAGUUGGCUCUGAAUUUCACAGUCUUUACUAUCUGCUUUCAAGAAUGAAGACUCGGACUGUCACCAAGAAUCCAAAUCCAGGACAGCAGCCCCCAAGUGUGGGGUCAGGAAGGCAGGGUCUGCAGGAAUGGAACACGGUUUCUUGGAAAUAAAUUCAUGAAAUACAAGGAAAGGACUUUCUGCAGGCCAUGAUUCCCUUUCACAUCCACAAGAGGGAAGGAAAGAAAGAAACUAUUGGAACCAAAUACUGAAAUCAUGGAUAAAGAUGAAGACUGUGAACGAAUAAAGCUAAUGCUUUAAAGUUGGUCUGAUUAUUA